rnacentral:rRNA from 1 species
CCUACGGGUGACAGCAGUAGGGAAUCUUCCACAAUGGGCGAAAGCCUGAUGGAGCAACGCCGCGUGGGUGAAGAAGGUCUUCGGAUCGUAAAACACUGUUGUUCGAGAAGAAAGUGCGUGAGAGUAACAGUUCACGUUUCGACGGUACCUAACCAGAAAGCAACGGCUAACUACGUGCCAGCAGCCGCGGUAAUACGUAGGUGGCAAGCGUUAUCCGGAUUUAUUGGGCGUAAAGGGAACGCAGGCGGUCUUUAAGUCUGAUGUGAAAGCCCUCGGCUUAACCGGGGUAGUGCAUUUGAAACUGGGAAACUUGAGUGCAGAAGAGGAGAGUAGAACUCCAUGUGUAGCGGUGAAAUGCGUAGAUAUAUGGAAGAACACCAGUGGCGAAGGCGGCUCUCUGGUCUGUAACUGACGCUGAGGUGCGAAAGCGUGGGUAGCAAACAGGAUUAGAUACCCCUGUAGUC